AACGAACGCUGGCGGCAGGCUUAACACAUGCAAGUCAAACGGUUGUAGCAAUACAGCAGUGGCAGACGGGUGAGUAACACGUGGGAACCUUCCUAGGGGUACGGAACAACUCAGGGAAACUUGAGCUAAUACCGUAUACGUCCGUGAGGAGAAAGAUUUAUCGCCCUUAGACGGGCCCGCGUCGGAUUAGCUAGUUGGUGGGGUAACGGCCUACCAAGGCGACGAUCCGUAGCUGAUCUUAGAGGAUGAUCAGCCACACUGGGACUGAGACACGGCCCAGACUCCUACGGGAGGCAGCAGUGGGGAAUCUUGGACAAUGGGCGCAAGCCUGAUCCAGCCAUGCCGCGUGAGUGAAGAAGGUCUUCGGAUUGUAAAGCUCUUUUGCCAGGGACGAUAAUGACGGUACCUGGAGAAUAAGCCCCGGCAAACUUCGUGCCAGCAGCCGCGGUAAU
rnacentral:rRNA from 1 species